UGCGGCAGAGCGGCCUGUUGUGUAGCAAAAGGGAAAAAAGUUCGGAAAAUGAUAUUCUCGUUAAAAUCUUAUCUUUGUAUUAUUCCUAGAAGCUCAAGCUUUAAAAGAUGAACAAGUCACUUAUCUUUGCUGUUGUAAUUAUUGCUUUGUUGUUGGCUGAUGCUGAAGCGGGCAGAAACUUUUGGAGGCGAAGAGUGUGGGGGGGUUGGAACCAAGCAAAGGCUGCAACAGUACAAGAUGAUGACUUCCUUCCCUUAAUAAACGACGAAGCAGCAGAAAAUUUGGAAGUCACAAAAUAACUUAUCGCUUUUUUGGCUUUGCACUUUUUCUAUCUCGAUAAUGUGUUUUGUUGCAUGGCCUACUCAAUACACGACCACGAGUUACCAUG